GGGCGUUUAUGGUUGCUAAGCGGCGAUGCGUCGACAAUUCACGUUCUAAAAGAGUCCAGCUGCGCCACGAGAAAUAGUUCCUUUCCUUCCGACGGGAAAGAGUGAAAGAAGGGCGGCUCCGAGAUGAGACGCCGGUUCCCGGGGGAGUGUUAAGCCCUGCGAUUUAAGAAAGGUGCAGUAGUCCACGUCUGCUGCGGGCUCGCUGGUGGCUGACAAGACCAAUGCGGGACAGGCAGGUCCGGCCACAGUGGCUGCAGGGAAAAGUCUGAUUUGGGGUUGGUGCUGUAGCAGUCGAAAAAUGCUUUUGUCUCCGGGUCAGCAUCAAGCGACCAAUAUCCUGAACCGCCUACAUGCAGGAUCGGGACUGCAGCUUCCAGUGGCAUCUUCCACCUGCCGUUUCGCCCCUUGCCCAUCGCUGCAGGACUUGAACUUGGAAAAAGCAGCCAACGAAACAGGACCUUAGACUGUUUUUGCCUCUUGCUGCAUCAGUGGGAUGAACGGACUUGAAAAUACUUGGCUGUGAGAAGUGAAUUGGAAACAAGGAGAUCAGAUCGAACUGUAUGUAAAAACCAAUAACUGCAUCACAGUCUGGGAUUUCAUGUAUUUUCGAUAUCUAUGAGCAACUUGAGUUGCGCAGAUAAGAAGUCACAGUUGUGGAUUUAUAUAUGUAACUUUAUUAUUAAAACAACUUUCUAUUUGUUAA